GGGGCUGUAGCUCACUUGGCUAGAGCGCGUCCAUGGCAUGGAUGAGGCAGUGGGUUCGAAUCCCAUCAGCUCCA
rnacentral:tRNA from 1 species